CCUACGGGAGGCAGCAGUGGGGAAUAUUGCGCAAUGGGCGAAAGCCUGAACCAGCCAAGUCGCGUGAGGGAAGACGGUCCUAUGGAUUGUAAACCUCUUUAGGCGGGGAGCAAUGCCGGGCACGCGUGCCCGGAGGGAGAGUACCCGCAGAAUAAGCAUCGGCUAACUCCGUGCCAGCAGCCGCGGUAAUACGGAGGAUGCGAGCGUUAUCCGGAUUUAUUGGGUUUAAAGGGUGCGUAGGCGGCUUUUUAAGUCAGCGGUAAAAUGUCCGGGCUCAACCCGGGCCGGCCGUUGAAACUGGGGAGCUUGAGUGGGCGAGAAGUAGGCGGAAUGCGUGGUGUAGCGGUGAAAUGCAUAGAUAUCACGCAGAACUCCGAUUGCGAAGGCAGCAUACCGGCGCCCGACUGACGCUGAGGCACGAAAGCGUGGGGAUCGAACAGGAUUAGAUACCCCUGUAGUC
rnacentral:rRNA from 1 species